AACGUAGGAGACAAACGUUAUCCGGAGUUACUGGGCGUAAAGGGCGUGUAGGUGGUUGUGUAAGUUCGGCGUGAAAUCUCUCGGCUUAACCGGGAGUGGUCGUCGGAUACUGCACGACUAGAGGACGGUAGAGGCGUGUGGAAUUCCGGGUGUAGUGGUGAAAUGCGUAGAGAUCCGGAGGAACACCAGUGGCGAAGGCGACACGCUGGGCCGUACCUGACAUUGAGGCGCGAUAGCAUGGGGAGCAAACAGG
rnacentral:rRNA from 1 species